AAACUUUCUCUUGGUUCUGCUGUUGCUUUAGGUCUUUGACAUCCCGGUUUCUUGUGAAGAAUAAGCAAGCAAAUGGCUGUAAGCUACUACAUAAUGGUAAUGACAUCUCCAAGGAAAGAUACAACUAGUGAACAAGAUACUAACCAUUUUCUGUCGAACUUGGAACACUGUUAGAGUUGAGAAAUAAGAAAAUCAAUUUUAG
rnacentral:misc_RNA from 1 species